GUAGGGAAUAUUGGGCAAUGGUCGGAAGACUGACCCAGCCAUGCCGCGUGCAGGAAGACGGCCCUCUGGGUUGUAAACUGCUUUUAUCUGGGAAGAAAAAGGCCAUGCGUGGCAAAUUGCCGGUACCAGAUGAAUAAGCACCGGCUAACUCCGUGCCAGCAGCCGCGGUAAUACGGAGGGUGCGAGCGUUUUCCGGAUUUAUUGGGUUUAAAGGGUGCGUAGGCGGCUGAUUAAGUCAGCGGUGAAAGACUUCGGCUUAACCGGAGCAGUGCCGUUGAUACUGGUUGGCUUGAGUGUCGGAGGGGUACAUGGAAUUGAUGGUGUAGCGGUGAAAUGCAUAGAUACCAUCAGGAACACCGAUAGCGAAGGCAUUGUACUGGCCGACAACUGACGCUGAUGCACGAAAGUGUGGGGAUCGAACAGGAUUAGAAACCCCUGUAGUCC
rnacentral:rRNA from 1 species